CCCUUAGAUGUUCUGGGCCGCACGCGUGCUACACUGAGUGGAUCAGCGGGUCAGGUUGCGCGAAAGCGUUUCCUAAUCUUUAAAUCCGCUCGUGAUGGGGAUUGACGGUUGCAAUUUUCUGUCAUGAACUAGGAAUACCUUGUAAGCGCGGGUCAUCAUCCCGCGCUGAAUACGUCCCUGCCCUUUGUACACACCGCCCGUCGCUCCUACCGAUUGAGUGGUCCGGUGAGGCUUUGGGAUCUGAGCGGAAAGAGCGUUUCGCUGUUUCUGCUCGGAAAACUCAGUCGAACCUUAUCAUUUAGAGGAAGGAGAAGUCGUAACA
rnacentral:rRNA from 1 species